rnacentral:lncRNA from 1 species
UGAGAAUGGAAAUGGGGAAUGUGCCAAAGAGACAACAACCCGACCAUAGAAAAAAAAAAAACAACAGCAGAAGGUCACCAAUAGGUCUUCAAUGUAGCGAGAAAUUCCCGCACCCGGAGGCGUCCUUCAGCUGGCCCCUAAACAAAUAUAUACUAGUUCAGUGAUAAUGAACGCCAUACUAAUUUCCAAAUUGUACACAAGAAACUAAAAUUAAAAUAAUACAAGACUAACAAAGGCCAGAGGCUCCUGACUUGGGACAGGCGCAAAAAGUGCGGCGGGGUUAAACAUGUUUGUGAGAUCUCAACCCUCCCCCUAUACUUCUAGCCAAUGUAGAAAAGUAAACGCAUAACAAUACGCAC